GUACGAGACUGAAUCGCACAUUUGUUUUUAUCUCAUUUUCUUUCUUCGCGCUCGAUGUUUACACUGUUCCUGUUCUAAUUUUCGUCUUCGGUUUAUUCGAACGAACGAGCAUGCGUCGUACACAGACGGUAACCAGGGGUUCACAACCAGCCCUACAUUCAUGGAAAAGCUUUCGUUGUAAUGAGAUUUAUUGGAUUCGGUGUUCUCGAGGUAUUUUUCUUCAUUGAUUCACAAACACACAAACAAACAAACGAACGUACGAAUUCGGGCACAGAAAUAACGUUGUCGAACAAUAUUUCGUCACAAGUUUUUGCUUAUAAAUACCAUCUCGUGCUGUAAUAGGGCGACGCCCUUUGCUAUACUCGCAACCUUAUUCGAUAUAUGUUAUUUCACACAGAAACAAUAUGCUGCUGCAAGCAUGGUCAUGGAAAGCUCUUACGCACGGGCAGAGCUUUAUAAAUAUACUUCUCGUGUGUUUCUUAGCAUUUGAUUUUUCGUACCGACUCUUGCAGACCAACCUUCCGGAUAUGUAUGUGAAAACACGUCAAGAAUUACGAAACGAAAAUUACGAAUUUUCAGAUUUUAAGGGCUCGAAGACACAGCCGAAUAAAUGAUAAUUGGAUUAGAGAAAACGCUGAAAUAUUCCGAAGUUUCAUAGACUGAAGGGAGAAAAUUCCGAUCGAAGGGCAAAAUGAAAUAUUUUUUUGGACCGUCUUGAAGGAUUUUAAGUUUGAGGGAAACAUCAAUUUUUGAAAUACUUUGAAGUUUGGGGGAUAAAAACAUCCGAAAGGGUCCGUGCCACUGGGAAAGGUGCCAAACAACGAAAAAUUUAAUAUCGAACGACAAACCGCAGCUAUAUCCAUAGCAAUAAUUUUAUUUCACGAAGAAUUUCGGUUCUCAGUUCGAAAAUUACGUUGCCACGUGAUGAUAGAAAUAGCAUAAAAAUAUUUAAAAACUGGUGGCAAAGAAUUCCAAGGAGUGAUUAGACGAUUUUUUUUCAUCGUAUGCAACUAAUUUUUAAUUUUUAUUCAGAACCAAAGCUCCACCUCGAAACGAUUCCGGUUUUUUUUUUAUCAUGCACAACCUUGGAAUAUUGAGGAAAUGCAGGGCUUGAGAGCCCCCAAAAAAGGAGUGGGAAUUCUCAAUAGUAAUUCAUGUACUACACAGCAGGUAGAAAUAGUGGAGUUUUUUGAUUUUCUGCAGUAUUUUUUUUCCAAAAUUUUUCAAAGUCCUUUUCCAACAUUUUUUAGCAUAUGAAAAAUGUUGGAAUUGCAGAGUUUAGAAAUUUUAUUUAAAUCGAAUUUCAAACCGUCGAAUUUGACAAAUUUACUAUGUAUCAGAAAAACAUUUUCUCAUCCGACCAAAAAAGAAUAUAAGAAAUGUAGCGAAAAUUGUGAUCUCGUCGAGCGGAGGUAAAUAAAAUGUCUAGUUUUUUGGUUUGUUUGAAUAUCACUCAAAAAAUAUGUAAUAUCGAUUAAAAACGACUAAUGGAAUUUUCGUCGAUGAAUGUC